CACCUAACACCCAUGGUACUAACUUAACAACUACAGUGAUUCACUUAAAAACCGUGACGUGAAAGGUCAUAAAUUGGGGCAAAACUCACUUAACCACUCUCGCUUGACAACAGAAAUCUUGGACUCAAUUGUAGUUGUAAGUGAAGGAUUACCUGUAUAUAAGACAGACAUCUAGCAACUAAUAUUCGGCUACCCUUCUAUCUCCAUAUGUCCCCAACUCUUUUCCCCUUGGUCUAUUUCAGGGGUGUCAAACUGCCGGCCCAUGGGCCGGGUGCGUUAUGGCAAAACCGCAAUACGUUGCAACACGCCACAUGAUGUUGCGAGUUUGACACCCCUGGUCUAUUUACUGAUACCUUAGCAAUAGCCAUGGUAAUACCCAUGCAGACUUCCAUCAGCUUUAUUACAGUGUAAAACCAGGUAACUCUUGGUGCUGCUGACAGGUGUUGUUUUUCAUAUUUCUUCACAGCUUUUGCCUGGACAAUGCCAAGUUCUUUACUUCAUCCUAAGAUGAAGUAAUGCAAUCAGAUUGUUUGCUGCCUCUUUAAUAAUGUAUCUUUAACAUACAGUUAACCUUUAUCUAAACAUCCACUUAAAGAUGAAAAUCACAAGAUUUGGUUUCUUUUUUUAAAAAUCUGUUUCUGUGCUAAAAAAUAGUCUUGCGUGAGCAGAUCUUCUGUUUAUCAAUAAUUGGUCCUUGUGGAAACAAUACUGUGUUCACACUGUCAACAGGGGGAUGAGGAGGGAGAUCACCUCUAAGCAUGUAAUUCAGGUUUUGUUCAGUUGAUUGCUGCUGCAAAUGUUUGCAGGGCCUUCCGAUACAUCUUCUAUUUAAACAGUAUCUUGUCAAAUAUUGGUGAGAACAAGACAUUUUUUCCAACAUUAGAGUCAAAUGUGGAAGAAGCAAAGCAUUUUAUUGACAAUCUUUGAGACGUGCUUGGAAGAUGAUCCAGACUCUACUCACCAUGAUGAAAUUCAAAGCCAGCAAAUUGUUUCUUCAACAUUGUCUUCACCAAUUCAAUUUUCAAAUUCCAUAUUUUAAAUAGAUUUUACUGGUAGUUUGUUUCAUGAGUAAGAUUUUGCAAGCAUAGGGUAUUGAUUGCAUCUUUUUUAAAACUGGAAAAGAAACAAAACAUUUCUUUGAAUUUCUUGGCAUUAUAUGAAUUAGAGUUCAUGCUCACCAACUGCUAUAUAAAGAAUUCCUUUAAAAGUUAAUAUCUCAGUUAAUGUGUAACUAUAAGGAUUUAUCUGACAGCUAUACUGUUUUUCAGAAAUGUCAAAGUGAGUGGAAUGUGAUUGCUGUUUAGCAAAAUAUUGUUUAUUCUGAGUGACAAAUGAAAAAAAAAUUACCAAGAAAGAAAAUUGUAGUAUUCAAACUUAAUUUCAACUUAACAUCCUACUUUUUCAGUAUACACCUAUUGAUUUUACAAGAGCUUGAGUAGUUCUCAAAUAUGAAUUGCCAUGCUUUAUUAUGACAAAUAUUCAGCUAUGACAAGCACUCAAGUUACAUAAAGUAGAUCUGGCUUUAAGAAUUCUACCUUGAGUUUAACAAUAUUUCACUAAUAUCUUUAUUUGUUGUAUAUCAGGGCAGAUAAACAAUGAAUGAAUAGUUCAUCUUGACCUUCAGUGUUAAACAUAUUACAGCAAAUUACUAUUUUGUCAUUAUACAAAUGCUAAUUUCUCUGAUUAAAACACUGCACGCACUCAGUUAUCAUUUUUGGAAGUACUGUACUGAUCAUGCAUGUAAGUAAUUACCAGAUCUCUAAUUAGAACACAAGGCAUAUGUUUUUCAGAACAAAAAAAAAAAA